rnacentral:rRNA from 1 species
GUCCACGCCGUAAACGAUGUGUGCUGGAUGUUGGGUGGCCUGGCCAUUCAGUGUCGUAGCUAACGCGAUAAGCACACCGCCUGGGGAGUACGGCCGCAAGGUUGAAACUCAAAGGAAUUGACGGGGGCCCCGCACAAGCGGUGGAGCAUGUGGUUUAAUUCGACGCAACGCGCAGAACCUUACCAGGACUUGACAUGGGCGUGCCGCGGUCAGAGAUGACCGUUUCCGCGAGGACACGCCGCACAGGUGCUGCAUGGCUAUCGU